rnacentral:tRNA from 1 species
GCCGGAGUGGCGGAAUGGCAGACGCAGCAGACUCAAAAUCUGCCAAGGUUUUACCUUGUGUGGGUUCAAGUCCCACCUCCGGCACCA